CCUACGGGGGGCAGCAGUGGGGGAUAUUGCACAAUGGGGGGAACCCUGAUGCAGCGACGCCGCGUGAGCGAUGAAGUAUUUCGGUAUGUAAAGCUCUAUCAGCAGGGAAGAAAAUGACGGUACCUGACUAAGAAGCCCCGGCUAACUACGUGCCAGCAGCCGCGGUAAUACGUAGGGGGCAAGCGUUAUCCGGAUUUACUGGGUGUAAAGGGAGCGUAGACGGUCCUGCAAGCCAGAUGUGAAAGCCCGGGGCUCAACCCCGGGACUGCAUUUGGAACUGUAAGGCUAGAGUGUCGGAGAGGCAGGCGGAAUUCCUAGUGUAGCGGUGAAAUGCGUAGAUAUUAGGAGGAACACCAGUGGCGAAGGCGGCCGCCUGGCCUGUUACUGACGCUGAGGCACGAAAGCGUGGGGAGCAAAUAGGAUUAGAUACCCUUGUAGUC
rnacentral:rRNA from 1 species